rnacentral:misc_RNA from 1 species
GUUCUAUCUUUAGGUGGAGUUAAGUCUGUUAAUCUGUUUGUUGUUAUGAAUGGACUAAGUACAACAACAUGGAGCCGGAUGCUGUUGAUUUCUUUGGGGAAUGUAUGAAUAGUCCCCGAAAUGGUCGUACUCCGCUUGCAAAUGAGAUAUAUGAGCAAAUGGUUGCAGAGAAGGAAAGAGAGCUAGAAGAAGGAGAAGCACAAAAGUCACCCUCCAAGAUUGUUGCUGAUAGUCUCAGCCAGAUCAGCCGCUCAUCCACCUUCCUUCCAAACAUUGGUGUCCCUACAACGUCCAAGACUGGUCGGUCCACAUCGCUAGCUGCACAAGCACGCAUGCAAGCUCAGUUUGAGGAAAAACUCCAAGCUGAAAGAGAGGAAGCUACUAGGAAGCAGGAAGAGUUGCAAGCACAACUACAAGCUCAACAGGCCGCACUUGAAGAAAACCAAAGUUUGCUGCGCCAGACCCAAGAGGAAGUGAAGGGGAUGCAUACCAAGUUUGAAGAGACCAAUGCAC